UGUUCAGAAAUAUUGAUUUUACCUUACCCUUUAAAUAAAUUUGGAUCUUAGUAUACAUUCCAUUGAAAUGUGUCAUUUUCUACAGCUUUGACAUCUAUUGGCAAAAGUUUUGUUUAAUGGAAGUUCAUUGGCUGCGGAUAGAUUAACUGUUGUAGCAUGUGACGUAAUUUUAUUUUCUGCUAGCAUUGCCGGCAUUGCGCGCCAAGUUUGAGAAGUUUGAUUUUCACAUUAAAUGAAUUAUGAAACAAGUGUCUGGUAGAACUUUUAUUUUUUUCUUGAAAAUUAGUGUUAGUAAGGUAGUGAAGCAGUAGUUGGCUGUUUUAGUUACUCAAGACGCUGAGUUAAUUAUAAACUGCCCUUGAUAGGCUGCAUAAAAUUGCUUUAAGUGCCACAGAAAAGAAUACAUCAGGUCUGAAAAGAAUUUUUAGAUGUUCAAAAUGAAUUAAAGACUUGAAAUUAUUUAUAAAUGUUAAAACUAUAUCCUGUGAUGGAAAUUAUACUGGAAGUCCAGAAACUUGUAAAAGUGCUACGGCAUUGUAUAAUGAUUUUCUAGAGAUCUAGUAAGCUGGUGAUUUAAGAAAACAACUAUAUUAAUAUCAAGCACUACAGGAACCAAGCUAUCUGUGAUGUAGCUACAUUGGACCUACAGCAGAAGUGAAUGAUCUGGGGAGUAAUUUCUUAUAAAAGCAGGAGCACAUUUGUUAUCCUAAAUACCUUGACACUACUAUCUACUAUAAUACGCGAUAGCAAAAUUUUACAUUGGACUGGUGAUGCACCCAUUGUGCUUCCAUUAUUGAGCAAUAUCGAGGAACAUUUUCCAAUAGUAUGGAUAACAAUUCCAAUGUUAUCUACAAGGCAUGGACUGUUGGUGAUCUGACUAAGUGCAACAGGCUCUGAAUAUCAUCCCACAAAAUGAUACAUGACACCUGUACGACACAAUGCAUUUCCAUACUUUCAUUUAACAUCGGAGUGAUUAUGUUAGUUAUUAAUGUACCAUCAUUUCACAUAACAUUGAUAAAUUAAAUAUGUUACCCAGAUAAA